rnacentral:misc_RNA from 1 species
AACCUUAUGGACCUGCGGGCGUAUACCUGCGGAGGGAUCAUUACCGAGUUAGGGUAGUUAUUCACUGCCCGACCUCCCAACCCUGUGUCUACCACCUUGUCGUUGCUUCGGCGGACCGGUCGACCAACUGGUCGUGACCGCCGGGGGCUGGCUCUGUCCCCCCUGGAGAGCGUCCGCCGAUGGCCCAACCACAAACUCUUGUACCGAAACGUGUCGUCUGAAUAAUUGAGAAAUCAAAUA